rnacentral:rRNA from 1 species
GAUGAACGCUGGCGGCGUGCCUAAUAUAUGCAAGUCGAGCGAAAAGACGAGGAGCUUGCUCCUCUGACGUUAGCGGCGGACGGGUGAAUAACACGUGGAUAACCUACCUAUAAGACUGGGAUAACUUCGGGAAACCGGAGCUAAUACCGGAUAAGAUAUUGAACCGCAUGGUUCAAUAGUGAAAGUCGGCUUUGCUGUCACUUCUAGAUGGAUCCGCGCGGGAUGAGCUAGUUGUUAAGGUCACGGCUUACCAAGGCGACGAUGCGUAGCCGACCUGUGAGAGGGAUCGGCGACACGGGAGCUGAGACACGGUCAAGGGGACUAAGGGAGGCAGCAGUAGGGUAUGGUCGGCAAUGGGCGAAAGCAUGACGGAGCAACGCCGCGUGAGUGACGAAGGCGUUCGGAUCGGAAAACUCUGUUAUGAGGGAAGAACAGAUGUGUAAGUAAACAUGGCCGUCUUGACGGUAACUGAUAAGAAAGCACCGGCUAACUACGUG